GAGCGGCGGCGCCGCCCCCGAACAUGAAAAUUUUAACACAAACCCACCCUUGAAUUGAUCCCCAAGCUCGAAUCCGAAACCAACUCCCUUUAUAUACCUACCGAUUGCUCUAAUAAAAAACUCAACCUUGAUUUUGCCAAAACCUAUACUAAACAACUACUCCUAAAACAAAAUCCUGAUCUAAUGAACCAAACAAAAUGCAUCAUACAAGAGGAGUUUCUAUGGAAAGCCAAGGUCAAAGCUCGGGUUAAAGACACACAAAGUAAUACUAACCUUCGAUGGAUCUUAAUCGCGCUCAAAUGUGCGUCUUGAUCGUGAAAAAAAGAAAAACAAAAGAAGAAAAGAAAAGUAGCGACCGAGAGUUUACCGAAGGACGGAUCCGCAGGGUAACGACGCUAGUCCAGGGUCUUUUAUGAAGUAUUGCUUUGAUGGGUGCUCUAGGUUUUUAGAAGGAAAAUCUUGUUGUCCAUCUGUUAACCUCUCUCUCUGUUUUUGAAGAACUCUCAAUCUUAGAAAACAACUUCUCCCUUUUUCGAUUUUCUCAUCCCCAGAUUAUGUGGGAUUUUGUUUGUUCCUGUUUUAGAUCAACUUUGACAUGCUUUUCGGA